UUGCAGUUAAAAAGCUCGUAGUUGAAUUUCUAGUUAGUUGCUAUUCGGUCUCCAGAUCAGUAGCAGUUAGCUAUCCGACACUGAACUAUGACGGUUAUUAAGUUAACCCCAUAGCGAAUUGUCAUUUUACUUUGAAAAAAUUAGAGUGUUUCAGGCAGGCAAUUGCCCGAAUAUCUUAGCAUGGAAUAAUGGAAUAGGACUUUGGUUCAUUUGAUUGGUUAUUGAAUCAGAGUAAUGAUUAAUAGGGACAGUUGGGGGCAUUAGUAUUUAAUUGUCAGAGGUGAAAUUCUUGGAUUUAUUAAAGACUAACUUAUGCGAAAGCAUUUGCCAAGGAUGUUUUCAUUAAUCAAGAACGAAAGUUAGGGGAUCAAAGACGAUCAGAUACCGUCCUAGUCUUAACUAUAAACUAUACCGACUCGGGAUUGGCCGUGUCUCAACUCGGUCAGCACUGUAUGAGAAAUUAAAGUCUUUGGGUUCUGGGGGGAGUAUGGUCGCAAGGCUGAAACUUAAAGGAAUUGACGGAAGGGCACCACCAGGAGUGGAGCCUGCGGCUUAAUUUGACUCAACACGGGGAAUCUUACCAAGGCCAAACAGAGGUGGGAUUGACAGAUUGAGAGCUCUUUCUUGAUUCUUUGGGUGGUGGUGCAUGGCC
rnacentral:rRNA from 1 species